UCUGUGUUGAUCAAAAUGAAUGUCCGCCAGUGGCCAGGUGUCAGCAUCUGGGAUAAAGGAUUCGGGACCUUGCCUGAGGCAGAAGGCAGCCUAGGUCUGCCGGUCCCUGGAAGUCUAGUGAGUUGUGACGCUGCUGCCAGUGACAAAUGGUGACUCCCACACUCACAUAUCCCCUGGUGGCAGAAUGAUAGCGAUGGGUGGAGAAACAUGGCUCCUGAGCACACGUUGAAUGGGGCACCGGCCGAAGGCCAGGGCCAGGAGUGGACGUCGUGGAGCUGAAUGGCGAGCCAGUGAAGGGCCCAAGGAUUUCUCCUGUAUGUGGCAAACAGGUCAUCCGUGUCCCCACGUCCAUAAACCAUUGGACUGCCGGGGCCCAGGCUGCCAGGAUUUCGGCCUUGCCUUCGGAGCCCGGCCACAUACGCAGCCUUGCACCGGGGGCGGGGACAUGUAGACAGCAAAAAUUUGGAAAAUGGCAGUGUCUCCUCGAUUUCCCCGGCAUCGGCCUAUCUGAGCGGCAUGCUUUGUUUCCGAGUAGGAUAAGGCACUGACGGAGAAAGGCAGGAUUAUGUGUGCAGGAAAGGUGUGUGCUGAGAGGGUGACGACGUUGAGACCAGGUUGGGAUCUUUAGUCCCAGGAAAGGCCCCUGGCAGGUGUGGGUGAAUGUUCUCUGCCCAUCCGAGUUGGCGGGGGGAGGUUUUCAGCAAACAAAGCAGCAGCGGGAUUAUUCGUCGCCGGAGAGGUUGCAUCUGCCCACAAGCUCCACCUGGCCAGGGACCGCCCCUACUGUAUUGCCCAUGUCAAUCAACAGAAGCUAAGACCUUCCAGAGAGACUACCUGCUAUUGUCUAGCCACGGGGAAGCGGUCCAGCCAGAAGCCUCCCCCGUUUCAUCUCCAGGCUCUCUGUCAGGCCCCUCAUACUUGUGAUGUGUCUCAGGGGUAGAAGGAAGAGAUUCCUCUGAAUGAACACAUCCAGAGAGGGGCCAUAGAUGCUGAGGAAGGGCACCUUGCCUACUGACAUCCUAGCGUAAGUGGUAAAGAGGUACCUGCCUGCUGUCCCAGUGUGUCGAACGUGUCCGCAUCAGGGAUUGGCUACUGUGAAGUUAUUCCCUGGUGCCCUCGAUUUUGUGGCCAAAGACACAAGGGCCUGUUGUGUGUCCAUGGGUACCAUGGAGGGCUCUGCAGAACUGGCCGGUUAGGCUGGACUUCUCCUAUUGGCUCAGUGUUUGUGACCCGUCCCCGUCAGAAGUUCCGGCCAGCCUUCCGGUGGCUGUCUCCAUGGUGAUUGGGGAAGAAGCCUUAGGCCCCGCACUCAGCCUUCACCUGGCCUACGUGGCCUCUUUACCCUCAUCUGGACCGCCGUGUGGAUGCAAGAAAGGAUGUCGGCCAGUGACCACGUGUCCUCAUUUCCUUUGAAGGAUUUCGCUCCUUGCCCGGGCAGAAGACAGCCAAGGUCAGCCUGAGCCUAAACACCUAGUGACCUGUGACACUGCAGCUAGUGAUAGAUGUAGAUUUCCACGCUCAGGUAUCCGCAGGUGGCGGAUUGAGAGUGGUCGGAGGAGAAGUGUAACUAGAGAUCACGCACUCACGAGGGCACGGGUCAAAGGUCUCGGAAAAUAGCUGAGGUCGUGGAGCCCUAGCGGAGCCAGUCUAGGGCACAGGCCUCCGUCCUGUACUUGGCAAAUAGGUGGCACCAUCUGCAGAGUAUGCCGCCAUCCGCAGACUCUGGACUGCUGGGGCCCUGGACGCCCGGAUUUCGGCCUUGUCUUUGGAGAAGUGACGCGCAUGCAGUGUGCCACCGGGGGCUGUGGCCCAGCAGAAGCAAAAUCUUGAAAAUGCGGGCUUCAUUUGACUUUGCCUGUGUUCUCCUUUGGCUGAGUGCCAUCCUGUGUUUCCUAGCAGGAGAAGCAUUCCUGGAGAGAGGCGGAUUCCAUGUGUGCCGGCAAAGUGUGUGCUGAGAUGAUGAGUCGCUGGAGACCAGGGUGGACUCUUCAGACCCAGGAUAGGCCUCUGGCAGCAGGAGAAGCAUUCCUGGAGAGAGGCGGAUUCCAUGUGUGCCGGCAAAGUGUGUGCUGAGAUGAUGAGUCGCUGGAGACCAGGGUGGACUCUUCAGACCCAGGAUAGGCCUCUGGCAGGUAUGUGUCAAUGUUUUCUGCCCAUGGCACUCAGCCGGGUAUUUGAAUACAAUGUUAUCAGCGGAAUUAGUAGUCUCCGGAGAGGCUGCCCCGUGUCAACAAGCUUCACCCGGCCAGGGUUCACCCGUGAUGUAGCUCCCCAAUCAAUCACUACUCCCUAGUCCUUCCAGAUGGACUACCAGAUCUUCUCUGCCCUUGGGCAACCAGUACAGCCAGAGGCCUUCCCCCUUUCCCCUUUCGUCUCUAGACACUCUGUCAGGCACUCCAAGCUGUGAAGUGCCUGGGGGGGAGAAGGAAGAGAUUUCAGAGAAUGAACACAUACAGAGAGAGAGAGAGACAGAGAGAGAGGCAGGAGAUGCUGAGUGGGGAUGUCUUGCGUACUGAUAUCCUGAGGAAAGUGGGAAAAUUGGACCCUGGCCUGCUGUGCCAAUGCCCUGAAGCAGUCCGCACCAGGGUCUCCCUUGUGCCUGCCUAGCCUUUCCCAGGGUGUGCUCAAAUCCUGUGGCCACUAGGUGUCCUGGGUCACAAUGGAGGGCCCUGUGUCAUCUGCCUGGCGGGCUGGAUCUCUGCCAUUGGCUGAGUCUUGUCACCAGGCCCAUGAUAAGCUGCGCCUACUCUUCCGGUGGGGAGACUGUCUCCAUGGUGAUGGCAAAGAAGCCUUAGUCCCGCCCACCUGGCCUUCACUUCACCUACCCGGCCUGCUGACCCUCACUCAGACCUCUGUGUUGAUCAAAAUGAAUGUCCGCCAGUGGCCAGGUGUCAGCAUCUGGGAUAAAGGAUUCGGGACCUUGCCUGAGGCAGAAGGCAGCCUAGGUCUGCCGGUCCCUGGAAGUCUAGUGAGUUGUGACGCUGCUGCCAGUGACAAAUGGUGACUCCCACACUCACAUAUCCCCUGGUGGCAGAAUGAUAGCGAUGGGUGGAGAAACAUGGCUCCUGAGCACACGUUGAAUGGGGCACCGGCCGAAGGCCAGGGCCAGGAGUGGACGUCGUGGAGCUGAAUGGCGAGCCAGUGAAGGGCCCAAGGAUUUCUCCUGUAUGUGGCAAACAGGUCAUCCGUGUCCCCACGUCCAUAAACCAUUGGACUGCCGGGGCCCAGGCUGCCAGGAUUUCGGCCUUGCCUUCGGAGCCCGGCCACAUACGCAGCCUUGCACCGGGGGCGGGGACAUGUAGACAGCAAAAAUUUGGAAAAUGGCAGUGUCUCCUCGAUUUCCCCGGCAUCGGCCUAUCUGAGCGGCAUGCUUUGUUUCCGAGUAGGAUAAGGCACUGACGGAGAAAGGCAGGAUUAUGUGUGCAGGAAAGGUGUGUGCUGAGAGGGUGACGACGUUGAGACCAGGUUGGGAUCUUUAGUCCCAGGAAAGGCCCCUGGCAGGUGUGGGUGAAUGUUCUCUGCCCAUCUGAGUUGGCGGGGGGAGGUUUUCAGCAAACAAAGCAGCAGCGGGAUUAUUCGUCGCCGGAGAGGUUGCAUCUGCCCACAAGCUCCACCUGGCCAGGGACCGCCCCUACUGUAUUGCCCAUGUCAAUCAACAGAAGCUAAGACCUUCCAGAGAGACUACCUGCUAUUGUCUAGCCACGGGGAAGCAGUCCAGCCAGAAGCCUCCCCCGUUUCAUCUCCAGGCUCUCUGUCAGGCCCCUCAUACUUGUGAUGUGUCUCAGGGGUAGAAGGAAGAGAUUCCUCUGAAUGAACACAUCCAGAGAGGGGCCAUAGAUGCUGAGGAAGGGCACCUUGCCUACUGACAUCCUAGCGUAAGUGGUAAAGAGGUACCUGCCUGCUGUCCCAGUGUGUCGAACGUGUCCGCAUCAGGGAUUGGCUACUGUGAAGUUAUUCCCUGGUGCCCUCGAUUUUGUGGCCAAAGACACAAGGGCCUGUUGUGUGUCCAUGGGUACCAUGGAGGGCUCUGCAGAACUGGCCGGUUAGGCUGGACUUCUCCUAUUGGCUCAGUGUUUGUGACCCGUCCCCGUCAGAAGUUCCGGUCAGCCUUCCGGUGGCUGUCUCCAUGGUGAUUGGGGAAGAAGCCUUAGGCCCCGCACUCAGCCUUCACCUGGCCUACGUGGCCUCUUUACCCUCAUCUGGACCGCCGUGUGGAUGCAAGAAAGGAUGUCGGCCAGUGACCACGUGUCCUCAUUUCCUUUGAAGGAUUUCGCUCCUUGCCCGGGCAGAAGACAGCCAAGGUCAGCCUGAGCCUAAACACCUAGUGACCUGUGACACUGCAGCUAGUGAUAGAUGUAGAUUUCCACGCUCAGGUAUCCGCAGGUGGUGGAUUGAGAGUGGUCGGAGGAGAAGUGUAACUAGAGAUCACGCACUCACGAGGGCACGGGUCAAAGGUCUCGGAAAAUAGCUGAGGUCGUGGAGCCCUAGCGGAGCCAGUCUAGGGCACAGGCCUCCGUCCUGUACUUGGCAAAUAGGUGGCACCAUCUGCAGAGUAUGCCGCCAUCCGCAGACUCUGGACUGCUGGGGCCCUGGACGCCCGGAUUUCGGCCUUGUCUUUGGAGAAGUGACGCGCAUGCAGUGUGCCACCGGGGGCUGUGGCCCAGCAGAAGCAAAAUCUUGAAAAUGCGGGCUUCAUUUGACUUUGCCUGUGUUCUCCUUUGGCUGAGUGCCAUCCUGUGUUUCCUAGCAGGAGAAGCAUUCCUGGAGAGAGGCGGAUUCCAUGUGUGCCGGCAAAGUGUGUGCUGAGAUGAUGAGUCGCUGGAGACCAGGGUGGACUCUUCAGACCCAGGAUAGGCCUCUGGCAGGUAUGUGUCAAUGUUUUCUGCCCAUGGCACUCAGCCGGGUAUUUGAAUACAAUGUUAUCAGCGGAAUUAGUAGUCUCCGGAGAGGCUGCCCCGUGUCAACAAGCUUCACCCGGCCAGGGUUCACCCGUGAUGUAGCUCCCCAAUCAAUCACUACUCCCUAGUCCUUCCAGAUAGACUACCAGAUCUUCUCUGCCCUUGGGCAACCAGUACAGCCAGAGGCCUUCCCCCUUUGCCCUUUCGUCUCUAGACACUCUGUCAGGCACUCCAAGCUGUGAAGUGCCUGGGGGGGAGAAGGAAGAGAUUUCAGAGAAUGAACACAUACAGAGAGAGAGAGAGACAGAGAGAGAGGCAGGAGAUGCUGAGUGGGGAUGUCUUGCGUACUGAUAUCCUGAGGAAAGUGGGAAAAUUGGACCCUGGCCUGCUGUGCCAAUGCCCUGAAGCAGUCCGCACCAGGGGCUCCCUUGUGCCUGCGUAGCCUUUCCCAGGGUGUGCUCAAAUCCUGUGGCCACUAGGUGUCCUGGGUCACAAUGGAGGGCCCUGUGUCAUCUGCCUGGCGGGCUGGAUCUCUGCCACUGGCUGAGCCUUGUCACCAGGCCCAUGAUAAGCUGCGCCUACUCUUCCGGUGGGGAGACUGUCUCCAUGGUGAUGGCAAAGAAGCCUUAGUCCCGCCCACCUGGCCUUCACUUCACCUACCCGGCCUGCUGACCCUCACUCAGACCUCUGUGUUGAUCAAAAUGAAUGUCCGCCAGUGGCCAGGUGUCAGCAUCUGGGAUAAAGGAUUCGGGACCUUGCCUGAGGCAGAAGGCAGCCUAGGUCUGCCGGUCCCUGGAAGUCUAGUGAGUUGUGACGCUGCUGCCAGUGACAAAUGGUGACUCCCACACUCACAUAUCCCCUGGUGGCAGAAUGAUAGCGAUGGGUGGAGAAACAUGGCUCCUGAGCACACGUUGAAUGGGGCACCGGCCGAAGGCCAGGGCCAGGAGUGGACGUCGUGGAGCUGAAUGGCGAGCCAGUGAAGGGCCCAAGGAUUUCUCCUGUAUGUGGCAAACAGGUCAUCCGUGUCCCCACGUCCAUAAACCAUUGGACUGCCGGGGCCCAGGCUGCCAGGAUUUCGGCCUUGCCUUCGGAGCCCGGCCACAUACGCAGCCUUGCACCGGGGGCGGGGACAUGUAGACAGCAAAAAUUUGGAAAAUGGCAGUGUCUCCUCGAUUUCCCCGGCAUCGGCCUAUCUGAGCGGCAUGCUUUGUUUCCGAGUAGGAUAAGGCACUGACGGAGAAAGGCAGGAUUAUGUGUGCAGGAAAGGUGUGUGCUGAGAGGGUGACGACGUUGAGACCAGGUUGGGAUCUUUAGUCCCAGGAAAGGCCCCUGGCAGGUGUGGGUGAAUGUUCUCUGCCCAUCCGAGUUGGCGGGGGGAGGUUUUCAGCAAACAAAGCAGCAGCGGGAUUAUUCGUCGCCGGAGAGGUUGCAUCUGCCCACAAGCUCCACCUGGCCAGGGACCGCCCCUACUGUAUUGCCCAUGUCAAUCAACAGAAGCUAAGACCUUCCAGAGAGACUACCUGCUAUUGUCUAGCCACGGGGAAGCGGUCCAGCCAGAAGCCUCCCCCGUUUCAUCUCCAGGCUCUCUGUCAGGCCCCUCAUACUUGUGAUGUGUCUCAGGGGUAGAAGGAAGAGAUUCCUCUGAAUGAACACAUCCAGAGAGGGGCCAUAGAUGCUGAGGAAGGGCACCUUGCCUACUGACAUCCUAGCGUAAGUGGUAAAGAGGUACCUGCCUGCUGUCCCAGUGUGUCGAACGUGUCCGCAUCAGGGAUUGGCUACUGUGAAGUUAUUCCCUGGUGCCCUCGAUUUUGUGGCCAAAGACACAAGGGCCUGUUGUGUGUCCAUGGGUACCAUGGAGGGCUCUGCAGAACUGGCCGGUUAGGCUGGACUUCUCCUAUUGGCUCAGUGUUUGUGACCCGUCCCCGUCAGAAGUUCCGGCCAGCCUUCCGGUGGCUGUCUCCAUGGUGAUUGGGGAAGAAGCCUUAGGCCCCGCACUCAGCCUUCACCUGGCCUACGUGGCCUCUUUACCCUCAUCUGGACCGCCGUGUGGAUGCAAGAAAGGAUGUCGGCCAGUGACCACGUGUCCUCAUUUCCUUUGAAGGAUUUCGCUCCUUGCCCGGGCAGAAGACAGCCAAGGUCAGCCUGAGCCUAAACACCUAGUGACCUGUGACACUGCAGCUAGUGAUAGAUGUAGAUUUCCACGCUCAGGUAUCCGCAGGUGGCGGAUUGAGAGUGGUCGGAGGAGAAGUGUAACUAGAGAUCACGCACUCACGAGGGCACGGGUCAAAGGUCUCGGAAAAUAGCUGAGGUCGUGGAGCCCUAGCGGAGCCAGUCUAGGGCACAGGCCUCCGUCCUGUACUUGGCAAAUAGGUGGCACCAUCUGCAGAGUAUGCCGCCAUCCGCAGACUCUGGACUGCUGGGGCCCUGGACGCCCGGAUUUCGGCCUUGUCUUUGGAGAAGUGACGCGCAUGCAGUGUGCCACCGGGGGCUGUGGCCCAGCAGAAGCAAAAUCUUGAAAAUGCGGGCUUCAUUUGACUUUGCCUGUGUUCUCCUUUGGCUGAGUGCCAUCCUGUGUUUCCUAGCAGGAGAAGCAUUCCUGGAGAGAGGCGGAUUCCAUGUGUGCCGGCAAAGUGUGUGCUGAGAUGAUGAGUCGCUGGAGACCAGGGUGGACUCUUCAGACCCAGGAUAGGCCUCUGGCAGGUAUGUGUCAAUGUUUUCUGCCCAUGGCACUCAGCCGGGUAUUUGAAUACAAUGUUAUCAGCGGAAUUAGUAGUCUCCGGAGAGGCUGCCCCGUGUCAACAAGCUUCACCCGGCCAGGGUUCACCCGUGAUGUAGCUCCCCAAUCAAUCACUACUCCCUAGUCCUUCCAGAUAGACUACCAGAUCUUCUCUGCCCUUGGGCAACCAGUACAGCCAGAGGCCUUCCCCCUUUGCCCUUUCGUCUCUAGACACUCUGUCAGGCACUCCAAGCUGUGAAGUGCCUGGGGGGGAGAAGGAAGAGAUUUCAGAGAAUGAACACAUACAGAGAGAGAGAGAGACAGAGAGAGAGGCAGGAGAUGCUGAGUGGGGAUGUCUUGCGUACUGAUAUCCUGAGGAAAGUGGGAAAAUUGGACCCUGGCCUGCUGUGCCAAUGCCCUGAAGCAGUCCGCACCAGGGGCUCCCUUGUGCCUGCCUAGCCUUUCCCAGGGUGUGCUCAAAUCCUGUGGCCACUAGGUGUCCUGGGUCACAAUGGAGGGCCCUGUGUCAUCUGCCUGGCGGGCUGGAUCUCUGCCACUGGCUGAGCCUUGUCACCAGGCCCAUGAUAAGCUGCGCCUACUCUUCCGGUGGGGAGACUGUCUCCAUGGUGAUGGCAAAGAAGCCUUAGUCCCGCCCACCUGGCCUUCACUUCACCUACCCGGCCUGCUGACCCUCACUCAGACCUCUGUGUUGAUCAAAAUGAAUGUCCGCCAGUGGCCAGGUGUCAGCAUCUGGGAUAAAGGAUUCGGGACCUUGCCUGAGGCAGAAGGCAGCCUAGGUCUGCCGGUCCCUGGAAGUCUAGUGAGUUGUGACGCUGCUGCCAGUGACAAAUGGUGACUCCCACACUCACAUAUCCCCUGGUGGCAGAAUGAUAGCGAUGGGUGGAGAAACAUGGCUCCUGAGCACACGUUGAAUGGGGCACCGGCCGAAGGCCAGGGCCAGGAGUGGACGUCGUGGAGCUGAAUGGCGAGCCAGUGAAGGGCCCAAGGAUUUCUCCUGUAUGUGGCAAACAGGUCAUCCGUGUCCCCACGUCCAUAAACCAUUGGACUGCCGGGGCCCAGGCUGCCAGGAUUUCGGCCUUGCCUUCGGAGCCCGGCCACAUACGCAGCCUUGCACCGGGGGCGGGGACAUGUAGACAGGAAAAAUUUGGAAAAUGGCAGUGUCUCCUCGAUUUCCCCGGCAUCGGCCUAUUUGAGCUGCAUGCUUUGUUUCCUAGUAGGAUAAGGCACUGAGGGAGAAAGGCAGGAUUAUGUGUGCAGGAAAGGUGUGUGCUGAGAGGGUGACGACGUUGAGACCAGGUUGGGAUCUUUAGUCCCAGGAAAGGCCCCUGGCAGGUGUGGGUGAAUGUUCUCUGCCCAUCCGAGUUGGCGGGGGGAGGUUUUCAGCAAACAAAGCAGCAGCGGGAUUAUUCGUCGCCGGAGAGGUUGCAUCUGCCCACAAGCUCCACCUGGCCAGGGACCGCCCCUACUGUAUUGCCCAUGUCAAUCAACAGAAGCUAAGACCUUCCAGAGAGACUACCUGCUAUUGUCUAGCCACGGGGAAGCGGUCCAGCCAGAAGCCUCCCCCGUUUCAUCUCCAGGCUCUCUGUCAGGCCCCUCAUACUUGUGAUGUGUCUCAGGGGUAGAAGGAAGAGAUUCCUCUGAAUGAACACAUCCAGAGAGGGGCCAUAGAUGCUGAGGAAGGGCACCUUGCCUACUGACAUCCUAGCGUAAGUGGUAAAGAGGUACCUGCCUGCUGUCCCAGUGUGUUGAACGUGUCCACAUCAGGGAUUGGCUACUGUGAAGUUAUUCCCUGGUGCCCUCGAUUUUGUGGCCAAAGACACAAGGGCCUGUUGUGUGUCCAUGGGUACCAUGGAGGGCUCUGCAGAACUGGCCGGUUAGGCUGGACUUCUCCUAUUGGCUCAGUGUUUGUGACCCGUCCCCGUCAGAAGUUCCGGUCAGCCUUCCGGUGGCUGUCUCCAUGGUGAUUGGGGAAGAAGCCUUAGGCCCCGCACUCAGCCUUCACCUGGCCUACGUGGCCUCUUUACCCUCAUCUGGACCGCCGUGUGGAUGCAAGAAAGGAUGUCGGCCAGUGACCACGUGUCCUCAUUUCCUUUGAAGGAUUUCGCUCCUUGCCCGGGCAGAAGACAGCCAAGGUCAGCCUGAGCCUAAACACCUAGUGACCUGUGACACUGCAGCUAGUGAUAGAUGUAGAUUUCCACGCUCAGGUAUCCGCAGGUGGUGGAUUGAGAGUGGUCGGAGGAGAAGUGUAACUAGAGAUCACGCACUCACGAGGGCACGGGUCAAAGGUCUCGGAAAAUAGCUGAGGUCGUGGAGCCCUAGCGGAGCCAGUCUAGGGCACAGGCCUCCGUCCUGUACUUGGCAAAUAGGUGGCACCAUCUGCAGAGUAUGCCGCCAUCCGCAGACUCUGGACUGCUGGGGCCCUGGACGCCCGGAUUUCGGCCUUGUCUUUGGAGAAGUGACGCGCAUGCAGUGUGCCACCGGGGGCUGUGGCCCAGCAGAAGCAAAAUCUUGAAAAUGCGGGCUUCAUUUGACUUUGCCUGUGUUCUCCUUUGGCUGAGUGCCAUCCUGUGUUUCCUAGCAGGAGAAGCAUUCCUGGAGAGAGGCGGAUUCCAUGUGUGCCGGCAAAGUGUGUGCUGAGAUGAUGAGUCGCUGGAGACCAGGGUGGACUCUUCAGACCCAGGAUAGGCCUCUGGCAGCAGGAGAAGCAUUCCUGGAGAGAGGCGGAUUCCAUGUGUGCCGGCAAAGUGUGUCCUGAGAUGAUGAGUCGCUGGAGACCAGGGUGGACUCUUCAGACCCAGGAUAGGCCUCUGGCAGGUAUGUGUCAAUGUUUUCUGCCCAUGGCACUCAGCCGGGUAUUUGAAUACAAUGUUAUCAGCGGAAUUAGUAGUCUCCGGAGAGGCUGCCCCGUGUCAACAAGCUUCACCCGGCCAGGGUUCACCCGUGAUGUAGCUCCCCAAUCAAUCACUACUCCCUAGUCCUUCCAGAUAGACUACCAGAUCUUCUCUGCCCUUGGGCAACCAGUACAGCCAGAGGCCUUCCCCCUUUGCCCUUUCGUCUCUAGACACUCUGUCAGGCACUCCAAGCUGUGAAGUGCCUGGGGGGGAGAAGGAAGAGAUUUCAGAGAAUGAACACAUACAGAGAGAGAGAGAGACAGAGAGAGAGGCAGGAGAUGCUGAGUGGGGAUGUCUUGCGUACUGAUAUCCUGAGGAAAGUGGGAAAAUUGGACCCUGGCCUGCUGUGCCAAUGCCCUGAAGCAGUCCGCACCAGGGGCUCCCUUGUGCCUGCCUAGCCUUUCCCAGGGUGUGCUCAAAUCCUGUGGCCACUAGGUGUCCUGGGUCACAAUGGAGGGCCCUGUGUCAUCUGCCUGGCGGGCUGGAUCUCUGCCAUUGGCUGAGCCUUGUCACCAGGCCCAUCAUAAGCUGCGCCUACUCUUCCGGUGGGGAGACUGUCUCCAUGGUGAUGGCAAAGAAGCCUUAGUCCCGCCCACCUGGCCUUCACUUCACCUACCCGGCCUGCUGACCCUCACUCAGACCUCUGUGUUGAUCAAAAUGAAUGUCCGCCAGUGGCCAGGGUUCUGCAUCUGGGAUAAAGGAUUCGGGACCUUGCCUGAGGCAGAAGGCAGCCUAGGUCUGCCGGUCCCUGGAAGUCUAGUGAGUUGUGACGCUGCUGUCAGUGACAAAUGGUGACUCCCACACUCACAUAUCCCCUGGUGGCAGAAUGAUAGCGAUGGGUGGAGAAACAUGGCUCCUGAGCACACGUUGAAUGGGGCACCGGCCAAAGGCCAGGGCCAGGAGUGGACGUCGUGGAGCUGAAUGGCGAGCCAGUGAAGGGCCCAAGGAUUUCUCCUGUAUGUGGCAAACAGGUCAUCCG